rnacentral:rRNA from 1 species
GACGAACGCUGGCGGCGUGCUUAACACAUGCAAGUCGAACGGAAAGGCCUCUUUCGGGGGGUACUCGAGUGGCGAACGGGUGAGUAACACGUGAGUAACCUGCCCUUGACUUUGGGAUAACUUCAGGAAACUGGGGCUAAUACCGGAUAGGAGCUCCUGCUGCAUGGUGGGGGUUGGAAAGUUUCGGCGGUUGGGGAUGGACUCGCGGCUUAUCAGCUUGUUGGUGGGGUAGUGGCUUACCAAGGCUUUGACGGGUAGCCGGCCUGAGAGGGUGACCGGCCACAUUGGGACUGAGAAACGGCCCAGACGCCGACGGGAGGCAGCAGUGGGGAAUAUUGCACAAUGGGUGGAAGCCUGAUGCAGCAACGCCGUGUGCGGGAUGACGGCCUUCGGGUUGUAAACCGCUUUCGCUCAUGACGAAGCUUUGUGUGACGGUAGUGGGUAAAGAAGCACCGGCUAACUACGUG